rnacentral:rRNA from 1 species
AGUGAACGCUGGCGGCGUGCUUAACACAUGCAAGUCGAACGAGAACGGAUUAUAGCUUGCUAUAAUUGUCAGCUAAGUGGCGCACGGGUGAGUAAUGUAUAGAUAACCUGCCCUCUAGAAAGGCAUAACAGUUGGAAACGACUGCUAAUGCCCUAUAUGCCUUUAAUACAUAAGUAUGCAAGGGAAACGCUUUAGUGCUAGAGGAUGGGUCUGUAUGGUAUCAGUUAGUUGGUGAGGUAAUGGCUAACCAAGACAAUGACGCCUAACUGGUUUGAGAGGAUGAUCAGUCACACUGGAACUGAGACACGGUCCAGACUCCUACGGGAGGCAGCAGUGGGGAAUAUUGCACAAUGGACGAAAGUCUGAUGCAGCAACGCCGCGUGGAGGAUGACACAUUUCGGUGCGUAAACUCCUUUUAUAUAGGAAGAUAAUGACGGUACUAUAUGAAUAAGCACCGGCUAACUCCGUGCCAGCCGCCGCCGUAA